rnacentral:rRNA from 1 species
CAGUCGCCGCGGGAAUACGUAGGUGGCAAGCGUUGUCCGGAAUUAUUGGGCGUAAAGGGCUCGCAGGCGGUUUCUUAAGUCUGAUGUGAAAGCCCCCGGCUCAACCGGGGAGGGUAAUUGGAAACUGGGAAACUUGAGUGCAGAAGAGGAGAGUGGAAUUCCACGUGUAGCGGUGAAAUGCGUAGGGAUGUGGAGGAACACCAGUGGCGAAGGCGACUCUCUGGUCUGUAACUGACGCUGAGGAGCGAAAGCGUGGGGAGCGAACAGGAUUAGAUACCCGGGUAGUCCCUGUCUCUUAUAU